rnacentral:rRNA from 1 species
UACGAAGGGGGCUAGCGUUGCUCGGAAUUACUGGGCGUAAAGGGCGCGUAGGCGGACAUUUAAGUCAGAGGUGAAAGCCCAGGGCUCAACCUUGGAACUGCCUUUGAUACUGGAUGUCUUGAGUUCGGGAGAGGUGAGUGGAAUGCCGAGUGUAGAGGUGAAAUUCGUAGAUAUUGGGAAGAACACCAGUGGCGAAGGCGGCUAACUGGUCCAGCACUGACGCUGAGGUGCGAAAGCGUGGGGAGCAAACAGG